GAAAGGAGUGGCCCCUCAGGAGGAAGGGGCGGGGAGAUCCCAGCUACUAGAGGACGCCCGUUCCAAUGGCAACUCUGCCAAGGCGCCUAUGAGAGCCUCUUGGCUUUUACCUGGUCUGCGAGAAAUCAAACUUUGGGCACAAGUCAUGAAGCCGACAAGCCCGGGAGACACAGUGUCAGAAUUACAAGGAACACUACAAGGCCUGUUAGAGAAGAAAGGGUAGAAUCCCGAGAAUGUUUUCCCCACAGUGCUGAUAAGGAGAGACCACUAUCCCAUCUACUGCUACAGCUCUGGAGACAGAGCUCUCCCACCUGUCAUAUAGAACACAAGGACCAAUCUGCAGAGAAAGAGCAUCCAAACCUGAUCCAGUGGACACUGGGGAAAAACUCACCACAGCUGAGUGUGGAAAAACAAGGCCAACACACACAUCUCUGCACAGAUACAUCUCCCAUAAAGAAACUAAAGUGUUAAUUUACAGGGCACUGUUGCAGACCCACUUCAGCUGGAAGCUAGGAACAUGGACAAGGAGCCUCUCUACCACCAAGGGAGAGAGAGGAAUGUGCUCUUGUCCUGGCAUUGCAUCCACAGGAGGGGCAGGAAAUUCUUUGAAGGUCUCGCAUCUGGGGCUCGAUCUCGUGCAGAGGAGCAUUUCCGAAGACACUGGCCGCUCCCACAAUGGCUCCGAAGAACCCAGCGACCAGCGGGUUCAUGAGUUUGUUGGGGCUGUCCACUCGGUACCAGCUGCGCAGGGAUGUCAGGACAAAGAAACAAGUUGCCUGGUUCCAGCCCUGCUUCAGCACGGGGCCUGUGGGGCCCCGGUAAGUCCCGGUGUUCCCGCACAAUCUCCUAACCCUGUGGAAGAAUCCCCUGUACUUGGAUUUGGAGAGGUCUGGCCAUGGAUUAACUUCACCUUGAUGGUCUCCAUGGGACAUAGGACCACCACGGCCUCGGCCACGCUAGCUCACUGGCCGCACCGCUGCCCGCCUUGCUGUUCACCAGUCCCUGGGCAUCCCGCAUCUGGUUGCUGAGGAACGCCUGACGCCGCCUUGUGGAUGAAGCCGCAGAGCAGGGAGCUGAGGCUGCGGCCCAGGCCCAGGCUGCCUUGGCUGCGACUGUGUGCCUGCAGGCCCCAUGCCCGGUAUCCGGUGGAUGCGAGUGCUAGUCCAGCUGCAGCUGCAUCUUCACGAACUCGGUGGGGAACGGGAUGCAGAUUUUUUUUUUCUUUUCCUUCCUUCCUUCCUUCCUUCCAACUUC
rnacentral:lncRNA from 1 species